rnacentral:rRNA from 1 species
AUUGACUAAGGUUUCCAGAGGAAGGCUCGUCCGCUCUGGGUUAGUCGGGUCCUAAGCUGAGGCCGACAGGCGUAGGCGAUGGAUAACAGGUUGAUAUUCCUGUACCACCUAUAAUCGUUUUAAUCGAUGGGGGGACGCAGUAGGAUAGGCGAAGCGUGCGAUUGGAUUGCACGUCUAAGCAGUAAGGCUGAGUAUUAGGCAAAUCCGGUACUCGUUAAGGCUGAGCUGUGAUGGGGAGAAGACAUUGUGUCUUCGAGUCGUUGAUUUCACACUGCCGAGAAAAGCCUCUAGAUAGAAAAUAGGUGCCCGUACCGCAAACCGACACAGGUAGUCAAGAUGAGAAUUCUAAGGUGAGCGAGCGAACUCUCGUUAAGGAACUCGGCAAAAUGACCCCGUAACUUCGGGAGAAGGGGUGCUCUUUAGGGUUAACGCCCAGAAGAGCCGCAGUGAAUAGGCCCAAGCGACUGUUUAUCAAAAACACAGGUCUCUGCUAAACCGUAAGGUGAUGUAUAGGGGCUGACGCCUGCCCGGUGCUGGAAGGUUAAGAGGAGUGGUUAGCUUCUGCGAAGCUACGAAUCGAAGCCCCAGUAAACGGCGGCCGUAACUAUAACGGUCCUAAGGUAGCGAAAUUCCUUGUCGGGUAAGUUCCGACCCGCACGAAAGGCGUAACGAUUUGGGCACUGUCUCAACGAGAGACUCGGUGAAAUCAUAGUACCUGUGAAGAUGCAGGUUACCCGCGACAGGACGGAAAGACCCCGUGGAGCUUUACUGUAGCCUGAUAUUGAAAUUCGGCACAGCUUGUACAGGAUAGGUAGGAGCCUUUGAAACGUGAGCGCUAGCUUACGUGGAGGCGCUGGUGGGAUACUACCCUAGCUGUGUUGGCUUUCUAACCCGCACCACUUAUCGUGGUGGGAGACAGUGUCAGGCGGGCAGUUUGACUGGGGCGGUCGCCUCCUAAAAGG